AAUAAAUUGGUAAUAUAAAACUAUUCUUCGCUGUAAAUUAAUUGUGUGCUCAAUUGCGACGCCCUGUGUUGAAUUUUCCCGCGAGUACAGUAUCAUUACUGAGGGGAAAUAUAACAUUAUUCAUUUAAUUCCACAAAAGGCCUGUAACGUACUGCAGCUUCCUGCAGGCAACGUGAAACAUUGCUGAGGGAGAACUUUAUUCACAACAAAAGGAUAAAGAUGAAGAUGCGGGACUUGGGCAGCUUGUGAUGGCUGUAAUUGUAAAGAAUGGAUCUUCUAGGAGUGGAAGCCCAAAGGAUGCUGGAAUUGUUAUCGAGGCCUUAAAGGUGUUCCCAGGGCAGGCUUUAUCCUCAUUGGAUUGGAUUGGAUCUAUGCAUUGAAUCUCCAGUAUCCCAGGCAUCUUUUCAGGUGUUUCAGAAACUUUUCUUGGAGCUGGAUUCUUCAAAGUUUAUGAACUGAUUACAGUACAGUAAGUCUAAACUGCUGUCUGAUUUUCUGGGUGUGAAUC